rnacentral:rRNA from 1 species
GACGAACGCUGGCGGCGUGCCUAAUACAUGCAAGUAGAACGCUGAAGAGAGGAGCUUGCUCUUCUUGGAUUAGUUGCGAACGGGUGAGUAACGCGUAGGUAACCUGCCUUUUAGCGGGGGAUAACUUUUGGAAACGAUAGCUAAUACCGCAUAACAAUGGAUGACCCAUGUCAUUUAUUUGAAAGGGGCAAAUGCUCCACUACAAGAUGGACCUGCGUUGUAUUAGUUAGUAGGUGAGGUAACGGCUCACCUAGGCGACGAUACAUAGCCGACCUGAGAGGGUGAUCGGCCACACUGGGACUGAGACACGGCCCAGACUCCUACGGGAGGCAGCAGUAGGGAAUCUUCGGCAAUGGGGGCAACCCUGACCGAGCAACGCCGCGUGAGUGAAGAAGGUUGUCGGAUCGUAAAGCUCUGUUGUAAGUCAAGAACGAGUGUGAGAGUGGAAAGUUCACACUGUGACGGUAGCUUACCAGAAAGGGACGGCUAACUACGUG